rnacentral:rRNA from 1 species
AAGGGUAUGGCUGUUCGCCAUUUAAAGUGGUACGCGAGCUGGGUUCAGAACGUCGUGAGACAGUUCGGUCCCUAUCUGCCGUGGGCGUUGGAUGAUUGAAGGGAGUUGCUCCUAGUACGAGAGGACCGGAGUGAACGAACCUCUGGUGUUCGGGUUGUCACGCCAGUGGCACUGCCCGGUAGCUAAGUUCGGAAUCGAUAACCGCUGAAAGCAUCUAAGCGGGAAGCGAGCCCUGAGAUGAGUCAUCCCUGACCCCUUGAGGGUCCUAAAGGGCCGUUGGAGACCACAACGUUGAUAGGUGGGGUGUGUAAGCGCGGUGACGUGUUGAGCUAACCCAUACUAAUUACCCGUGAGGCUUAACCAUACAACACCCAAGAAGUGUUCU